rnacentral:lncRNA from 1 species
UCAUUGAUUAGUUCAAGUGGAACGAGUGAGCCAAGUAGUCAUGUGUGGUCAUGUGUCAGAAACCAGCAGUGCUUGCGGCAUUGCUGACCAACUGACUGAAGAGCAGAUUGCAGAAUUCAAAGAAGCUUUUCCACUAUUUGACAUUGAUCUUGAUGGAACUAUAACAACAAAGGAAUUGGGAACUAUAAUGAGGUCUCUUGGGCAGAAUCCCACAGAAACAGAGUUACAGGACAUGAUUAAUGAAGUAGAUGCUGAUGGUAAUGGCACAACUGUCUUCCCUGAAUUUCUGACA